AAGUUUGCCCUCCAUCUCCUUCGACCCCUUUGUUAAAUAAUGAACUUUCUUCUUCAGCCGUUGGAUCGAGGACUUCAGCGGAAUCCCCUAUGGCAAGGGAAGUACUUCGGCAGGACACUGCUAUCGGGAGACAAAAGCAUCAAGGCGCGUCUCAUUGCAGAAAGAAAAAUAAAAAAAAGGGGGGAGCAGAGUGGAGAAGCCCUCCAUAAGGAGGAACCCAAUUUUAUUGAUUGAAUAUUUCUUAAAGACAAAAGAGAAAAGAAAAAUUGCAAUAAAAGAAAAAUACAAGGUCAGAGGUCUCAGACCUCUGAAAUAGGAGUUAGAGAGC
rnacentral:lncRNA from 1 species